CAUGCGAAAGACCCUUCACGGGGUUGUAUUUAUUAGCCUAAAAACCAACAGUUCUUCGGAACAAUUGGUGAUUCAUAAUAACUGUCGAAUCGCAUGGCUUUAUGCCAGCGAUAGAUCAUUCAAGUUUCUGACCUAUCAGCUUUGAAUCGUAGUGUAUUGGACUACGAUGGCUAUGACGGGUGACGGAGAAUUAGGGUUCGAUUCCGGAGAAGGAGCCUGAGAAACGGCUACUACAUCUAAGGAAGGCAGCAGGUGCGCAAAUUACCCAAUUGGAAUUUCCAGAGGUAGUGAAGAUAAAUAACAAUACCGGACGUUUUUGCGCCUGGUAAUUGGAAUGAGAACAAUUUAAAUACUUUAUCAAGUAUCAAUUGGAGGGCAAGUCUGGUGCCAGCAGCCGCGGUAACACCAGCUCCAAUAGCGUAUAUUAAAGUUGUUGCAGUUAAAAAGCUCGUAGUUGGAUAUCUGUUUUCAUUGUCUAGUCCGCUCUAACGAGUGUGCACUGGUACGAUGAAAUCAUCCUUUCAGAUCUGACCUAACGGUCUAUUCAGAAUCCUUUACUUUGAAAAAAUAAGAGUGUUCAAAGCAAGCGUUUUGCUGUGAAUUCAUUAGCAUGGAAUAAUAAAAUAGGACUUUGGCCUAUUUUGUUGGUUUCUUGGUCCAGAGUAAUGAUUGAUAGGGACAGUUGGGGGUGCUUGUAUUAAACGGCCAGAGGUGAAAUUCUUGGAUUCGUUUAAGACAAACUACUGCGAAAGCAUUCACCAAGGAUGUCUUCUUUAAUCAAGAACGAAAGUUGGGGGAUCGAAGACGAUUAGAUACCGUCGUAGUCUCAACCAUAAACUAUGCCGACUAAGGAUCAGCAAAUGUUUUUUAAAGACUUUGUUGGUACUUUAUGAGAAAUCAAAGUUUUUGGGUUCUGGGGGGGAGUCUGGUCGCAAGGCUGAAACUUAAAGGAAUUGACGGAAGGGCACACAAGGAGUGGAGCCUGCGGCUUAAUUUGACCCAACACGGGAAACCUUACCAGGUCAGGAGACAUUGAGGAUUGACAGAUUGCAGAUCUUUCUUGAUUAUGUCAUUAGUGGUGCAUGGCCGUUCUUAGUUGGUGGAGUGAUCUGUCUGGUUAAUUCCGUAAACGAACGAGACCAACGCUUACUAAAUAGUUAUACGUAUCUUCGGGUACGCUGUAACUACUUAGAAGGACUGUCGGCUUUUAGCCGAAGGAAGCGCUUGGCAAUAACAGGUCUGUGAUGCCCUUAGAUGUCCUGGGCUGCACGCGCGCUACACUGUUGCAUUCAAUGAGCUUCUUCCUCAUUGAAAAAUCUGGGUAAUCUUUCAAAUUGCAACGUGUUGGGGAUUGAUUAUUGCAAUUAUUAGUCAUGAACCAGGAAUUCCUAGUAAAUGUGAGUCAUCAGCUCACAUUGACUGCGUCCCUGCCUUUUGUACACACCGCCCGUCGCUCCUACCGAUUGAAUGAUCCGGUGAAAUCUUUGGACUGCGUAUAGAAAGUGGAAACAUUUACUGUAUGUGGGAAGUUGAUUGAACCUUAUCAUUUAGAGAAGGAGAAGUCGUAACAAGGUU
rnacentral:rRNA from 1 species